rnacentral:rRNA from 1 species
GUCUACGGCCAUACCACCCUGAAUGCACCCGAUCUCAUCUGAGCUCAGAAGCUAAGCAGGGUUGGGCCUGGUUAAUACUUGGAUGGAAAAAUGCUUGGAAUAACGUGUGGGAUAAGAU